rnacentral:tRNA from 1 species
AUUUAUAUAAUAUAAAUUAUUAUUUUUAACUUCCAAUUAAAAAAUUUAGACAAACUAAUAUAAAUA